AUGAGCCACCUUAUUGUGGCUGGUGUUGGUAAUUACUCAGAGAGUGCCUGUCUCUAUGUUGCCUCACUGCAGCUACCAGCGCCUACCCGUCUCUCCAGCUGUAACCCGAGUCACUGUCAUCUCUGUCCUCAGUUGCUCUCCUCCAGCGCGUGGUUUUGCCUUCUCCAACUUGCCAUCCACUCAGCAGUCCAGGAGAGCUUUGAAAAAGUUGACUGGAGAAGAUGAGACACGGCCCCCCCUGCUGCUUCGGAGGCAAGCGCUGAGCAGGAGAAGCAGAUGAGGCUGGCGACUGUCCCUCCCCUGUGUGCUGAGGAAAAGCAGGCCCCAGGGCAAAGCAACUCAUAGCGCUGGCUCAGAAAGAGGAGUUGGAGGUGGGGAGGGGAAGGGCCGUCACCUUGCGCCUGCAGAGAAGCCCAGGUGUGGUCUUGGCUCCACUGUUGACAGCCUGCGUGAGCCUAGACCCCCCUCUGCACCUCAUCUCUGCCUCCCUGACCAGGCUGUAGGGAUAUCCCACGAGGGUCCCAGGAGGGUCACGUGAGCACAGACACCAGUCCCCAGGGAGGGCGAUGUCAGGCCUCAAACCCUGUCCCUUGUAGGGCCCCACCCAGGCGAUGACGCCACUGUCCUCCAUGACCACACACUUCCCGAGUGCCGCAGUCCUUUGCGCCAAGGAAACGCCAGCUAUCUCUUCACCUGGAAGUGCUCCCCGUCCCGACAUUGCUGUGUGUCUUUAGCUACAACCCUGCCCCUUCUCUGAUACUCUGGUUUCUCGGCCCUCGAAGGAGGGCAGCUGACAUCUCGCUCUUCAAAGCCUCUGCCGGCCCUGGAGAGCCGCUCCAAGCUUUCUCUGAGCCCCAUGGACAGGUCCGGGGACAUCUGGCCUCCCUGAUAUAAGCAAGGCUGGAGAGGCCUGAGGCCAGAGAUGGGGAGCUGGUUCUCAUACUGUGGAGCUUCUGGCGGUGGCCAAGAGACGAGCCUGAUCCAGAGAACCUUUGUUAAUCCACCAGACCAGAUUCAUUCAUUUCAUUAUUCAUUCACUUAGUGAGCCCCUACAGUGUGGCAGGGACCGUGGUGGGCUCCAAGCACACAGCAGUGAAAAAGGCAAACCCAGGGGCUCCCCCGUGGUCCCCUAAGUUUAUCCUCUGGUAGAAGAGACAGCAAAGUCUGCAAACGGAUUUGCAUAGUGACAAAAUGUGAUGGGUGCUCUGGAGGUUGUGAAGGAGCGUGGAGACAGAGGAUACUUGCAGAGGGGAGGGAUGGGUAAUAAUCUCUAGGUGAGGGGCUGACCCUGGCCUCUUAAAGGUGUGAUCUUAGAACUGAGACCUGAGGGUGAGAGGGAGCCAGCCACCUGUUGUCUUCCGCAGAGGUAGGUGACGGGGUGAAGGGACUCCAGGAGGCCCUCACGAUGGAGGCAAAGUGAGACAGAAUCCGGAAGCGGGGCCGUGGGUGAGGUGGGAAAAGCAGCCAGAUCCAGUUAAGUUUUACUUUCUCCCCAAGACCCCUGGGAAGCCGUGAGAAGCAAGGAAGGGCAGUGACUUGACCAAACCCACAUUUCCCGCAUAUUCCUGAGCUCCCGCCGGCUCCUGUUUGUGACGGCUAGGAAUCUGACACAGAGGUCUCCAAAGUGGGGUGCAAACACCCCAGGGAGAUGUGCAAGGGAGUUCACUGAGGAGAAAGGGAUAUUCAAAACUGAUAUUUCUAUUUCCAUUUAAUCCAAAAAGGGGCGGGAGGAGAAUUUCGUUUUACCAGUAUUUAUGGAUUCACGGUGAUGCCCAUAUUUGGUCUCUAUGUCAAAUGUUACUGCAGAAAAGAUUGGGCUGGCAGCCUGGCCUUUUUCUUUGCUGUCUGCAUUUUGAAGAAUUUUCUCUUCAUUGGAGACCGGUUCAACAAAUCGCUAGAUUAGAAUACUCUCCGACUGAUUUUUCACCAAGUGGAAGGAGAACUUGAAAGCGUAAAGGAAGAACAAAAAA
ensembl:lncRNA